rnacentral:rRNA from 1 species
CCUACGGGAGGCUGCAGUGAGGAAUAUUGCACAAUGGAGGAAACUCUGAUGCAGCAACGCCGCGUGGAGGAUGACGCAUUUCGGUGUGUAAACUCCUUUUAUGAGUCAAGAAAAUGACGGUAGCUCAUGAAUAAGCACCGGCUAACUCCGUGCCAGCAGCCGCGGUAAUACGGAGGGUGCAAGCGUUAUUCGGAAUCACUGGGCGUAAAGGACGCGUAGGCGGGAUGCCAAGUCUGAUGUGAAAUCCUAUGGCUUAACCAUAGAACUGCAUUGGAAACUGGCAACCUAGAGUAUGGGAGGGGGAGAUGGAAUUAGUGGUGUAGGGGUAAAAUCCGUAGAUAUCACUAGGAAUACCGAAAGCGAAGGCGAUCUCCUGGAACAUAACUGACGCUAAGGCGUGAAAGCGUGGGGAGCAAACGGGCUUAGAUACCCUAGUAGUC